GAUAAGAUUUUUUUCGAUGUCAUAAUAAUGGUAUCGAAAUUCUGGUUCGUUUCAUAUAAUUGUUUUUAGAUAUCUUGAUUUCGGAGCACUCCCUCCAAUCCAUUCGGUUACUCAUAAUUGUACCGAAAAUCAAGUUAAUCCCCUAAUCUUUUGAAUAUUUCAAUUACACUUCCAAAUAAAACUACACUUAAAAGCAUAUGAAAUUAUCUUCAUUCCACCAUUGAAAAUUGACAAAAAAAAAAAAAAAGAAAUUUCUUUUUUCGACCAAAGUCGGGAAAAAUGAAGAAAAUACGCUUACGUCGUAUUGUUCGAUUUGAUCGCUUGUACUUUUGUUUCAACAUUAAACAACCAAAAGGUUGUUCUAAUAACUAAAUUAAAGUGUAUUUUGAGUUCAAUUGACUUUUUGUGAACGAAUUACGACGAUUCGACUUUUCUGCCUGAUUUUUAGCUGCACAAAAAACUAUUUCCGAUCAGAUUUUUUUCGAUGUCAUAAUAAUCGUAUCGAAAUUCUGGUUCGUUUCAUAUAAUUGUUUUUAGAUAUCUUGAUUUCGGAGCACUCCCUCCAAUCCAUUCGGUUACUCAUAAUUGUACCGAAAAUCAAGUUAAUCCCCUAAUCUUUUGAAUAUUUCAAUUACACUUCCAAAUAAAACUACACUUAAAAGCAUAUGAAAUUAUCUUCAUUCCACCAUUGAAAAUUGACAAAAAAAAAAAAAAGAAAUUUCUUGUUUCGACCAAAGUCGGGAAAA